rnacentral:piRNA from 1 species
UGCCAACAAGGCGUAGGAGCCUCUGCAAC